GACGUAGGGCGCGAGCGUUGUCCGGAUUUAUUGGGCGUAAAGAGCUCGUAGGCGGCUUGUCGCGUCGUCCGUGAAAACCUGCGGCUCAACUGCAGGCUGGCGGUCGAUACGGGCAGGCUGGAGUUCGGUAGGGGGAGACUGGAAUUCCUGGUGUAGCGGUGAAAUGCGCAGAUAUCAGGAAGAACACCCGUGGCGAAGGCGGCUCUCUGGGACGGUACUGACGCUGAGACGCGAAAGCGUGGGGAGCGAACAGG
rnacentral:rRNA from 1 species